rnacentral:rRNA from 1 species
GACGAACGCUGGCGGCGUGCUUAACACAUGCAAGUCGAACGAAGAGCGAUGGAAGCUUGCUUCUAUCAAUCUUAGUGGCGAACGGGUGAGUAACGCGUAAUCAACCUGCCCUUCAGAGGGGGACAACAGUUGGAAACGACUGCUAAUACCGCAUACGAUCUAAUCUCGGCAUCGAGGAUAGAUGAAAGGUGGCCUCUACAUGUAAGCUAUCACUGAAGGAGGGGAUUGCGUCUGAUUAGCUAGUUGGAGGGGUAACGGCCCACCAAGGCGAUGAUCAGUAGCCGGUCUGAGAGGAUGAACGGCCACAUUGGGACUGAGACACGGCCCAGACUCCUACGGGAGGCAGCAGUGGGGAAUCUUCCGCAAUGGACGAAAGUCUGACGGAGCAACGCCGCGUGAGUGAUGACGGCCUUCGGGUUGUAAAGCUCUGUUAAUCGGGACGAAAGGCCUUCUUGCGAAUAGUGUGAAGGAUUGACGGUACCGGAAUAGAAAGCCACGGCUAACUACGUG